UGGCGGACGGGUGAGUAAUGUCUGGGAAACUGCCUGAUGGAGGGGGAUAACUACUGGAAACGGUAGCUAAUACCGCAUAACGUCGCAAGACCAAAGAGGGGGACCUUAGGGCCUCUUGCCAUCGGAUGUGCCCAGAUGGGAUUAGCUAGUAGGUGGGGUAAAGGCUCACCUAGGCGACGAUCCCUAGCUGGUCUGAGAGGAUGACCAGCCGCACUGGAACUGAGACACGGUCCAG
rnacentral:rRNA from 1 species